rnacentral:rRNA from 1 species
GAUGAACGCUGGCGGCGUGCCUAAUACAUGCAAGUCGAGCGAACAGAUGAGGAGCUUGCUCCUCUGACGUUAGCGGCGGACGGGUGAGUAACACGUGGAUAACCUACCUAUAAGACUGGGAUAACUUCGGGAAACCGGAGCUAAUACCGGAUAAUAUAUUGAACCGCAUGGUUCAAUAGUGAAAGACGGUUUUGCUGUCACUUAUAGAUGGAUCCGCGCCGCAUUAGCUAGUUGGUAAGGUAACGGCUUACCAAGGCAACGAUGCGUAGCCGACCUGAGAGGGUGAUCGGCCACCCUGGAACUGGGACACGGUCCCGACUCCUACGGGGGGCAGCAGUAGGGAAUCUUCCGCAAUGGGCGAAAGCCUGACGGAGCAACGCCGCGUGAGUGAUGAAGGUCUUCGGAUCGUAAAACUCUGUUAUUAGGGAAGAACAAAUGUGUAAGUAACUAUGCACGUCUUGACGGUACCUAAUCAGAAAGCCACGGCUAACUACGUG